GGGUUGUGAGGUUAAGCGACUAAGCGUACACGGUGGAUGCCCUGGCAGUCAGAGGCGAUGAAGGACGUGCUAAUCUGCGAUAAGCGUCGGUAAGGUGAUAUGAACCGUUAUAACCGGCGAUUUCCGAAUGGGGAAACCCAGUGUGAUUCGUCACACUAUCAUUAACUGAAUCCAUAGGUUAAUGAGGCGAACCGGGGGAACUGAAACAUCUAAGUACCCCGAGGAAAAGAAAUCAACCGAGAUUCCCCCAGUAGCGGCGAGCGAACGGGGAGGAGCCCAGAGCCUGAAUCAGUGUGUGUGUUAGUGGAAGCGUCUGGAAAGGCGUGCGAUACAGGGUGACAGCCCCGUACACAAAAAUGCACAUACUGUGAGCUCGAUGAGUAGGGCGGGACACGUGGUAUCCUGUCUGAAUAUGGGGGGACCAUCCUCCAAGGCUAAAUACUCCUGACUGACCGAUAGUGAACCAGUACCGUGAGGGAAAGGCGAAAAGAACCCCGGCGAGGGGAGUGAAAAAGAACCUGAAACCGUGUACGUACAAGCAGUGGGAGCCUCUUAAUGGGGUGACUGCGUACCUUUUGUAUAAUGGGUCAGCGACUUAUAUUCUGUAGCAAGGUUAACCGAAUAGGGGAGCCGAAGGGAAACCGAGUCUUAACUGGGCGUUAAGUUGCAGGGUAUAGACCCGAAACCCGGUGAUCUAGCCAUGGGCAGGUUGAAGGUUGGGUAACACUAACUGGAGGACCGAACCGACUAAUGUUGAAAAAUUAGCGGAUGACUUGUGGCUGGGGGUGAAAGGCCAAUCAAACCGGGAGAUAGCUGGUUCUCCCCGAAAGCUAUUUAGGUAGCGCCUCGUGAAUUCAUCUCCGGGGGUAGAGCACUGUUUCGGCAAGGGGGUCAUCCCGACUUACCAACCCGAUGCAAACUGCGAAUACCGGAGAAUGUUAUCACGGGAGACACACGGCGGGUGCUAACGUCCGUCGUGAAGAGGGAAACAACCCAGACCGCCAGCUAAGGUCCCAAAGUCAUGGUUAAGUGGGAAACGAUGUGGGAAGGCCCAGACAGCCAGGAUGUUGGCUUAGAAGCAGCCAUCAUUUAAAGAAAGCGUAAUAGCUCACUGGUCGAGUCGGCCUGCGCGGAAGAUGUAACGGGGCUAAACCAUGCACCGAAGCUGCGGCAGCGACACUAUGUGUUGUUGGGUAGGGGAGCGUUCUGUAAGCCUGUGAAGGUGUACUGUGAGGUAUGCUGGAGGUAUCAGAAGUGCGAAUGCUGACAUAAGUAACGAUAAAGCGGGUGAAAAGCCCGCUCGCCGGAAGACCAAGGGUUCCUGUCCAACGUUAAUCGGGGCAGGGUGAGUCGACCCCUAAGGCGAGGCCGAAAGGCGUAGUCGAUGGGAAACAGGUUAAUAUUCCUGUACUUGGUGUUACUGCGAAGGGGGGACGGAGAAGGCUAUGUUGGCCGGGCGACGGUUGUCCCGGUUUAAGCGUGUAGGCUGGUUUUCCAGGCAAAUCCGGAAAAUCAAGGCUGAGGCGUGAUGACGAGGCACUACGGUGCUGAAGCAACAAAUGCCCUGCUUCCAGGAAAAGCCUCUAAGCAUCAGGUAACAUCAAAUCGUACCCCAAACCGACACAGGUGGUCAGGUAGAGAAUACCAAGGCGCUUGAGAGAACUCGGGUGAAGGAACUAGGCAAAAUGGUGCCGUAACUUCGGGAGAAGGCACGCUGAUAUGUAGGUGAAGUCCCUCGCGGAUGGAGCUGAAAUCAGUCGAAGAUACCAGCUGGCUGCAACUGUUUAUUAAAAACACAGCACUGUGCAAACACGAAAGUGGACGUAUACGGUGUGACGCCUGCCCGGUGCCGGAAGGUUAAUUGAUGGGGUUAGCGGUAACGCGAAGCUCUUGAUCGAAGCCCCGGUAAACGGCGGCCGUAACUAUAACGGUCCUAAGGUAGCGAAAUUCCUUGUCGGGUAAGUUCCGACCUGCACGAAUGGCGUAAUGAUGGCCAGGCUGUCUCCACCCGAGACUCAGUGAAAUUGAACUCGCUGUGAAGAUGCAGUGUACCCGCGGCAAGACGGAAAGACCCCGUGAACCUUUACUAUAGCUUGACACUGAACAUUGAGCCUUGAUGUGUAGGAUAGGUGGGAGGCUUUGAAGUGUGGACGCCAGUCUGCAUGGAGCCGGCCUUGAAAUACCACCCUUUAAUGUUUGAUGUUCUAACGUUGGCCCCUGACCGGGGUUGCGGACAGUGUCUGGUGGGUAGUUUGACUGGGGCGGUCUCCUCCUAAAGAGUAACGGAGGAGCACGAAGGUUGGCUAAUCCUGGUCGGACAUCAGGAGGUUAGUGCAAUGGCAUAAGCCAGCUUGACUGCGAGCGUGACGGCGCGAGCAGGUGCGAAAGCAGGUCAUAGUGAUCCGGUGGUUCUGAAUGGAAGGGCCAUCGCUCAACGGAUAAAAGGUACUCCGGGGAUAACAGGCUGAUACCGCCCAAGAGUUCAUAUCGACGGCGGUGUUUGGCACCUCGAUGUCGGCUCAUCACAUCCUGGGGCUGAAGUAGGUCCCAAGGGUAUGGCUGUUCGCCAUUUAAAGUGGUACGCGAGCUGGGUUUAGAACGUCGUGAGACAGUUCGGUCCCUAUCUGCCGUGGGCGCUGGAGAACUGAGGGGGGCUGCUCCUAGUACGAGAGGACCGGAGUGGACGCAUCACUGGUGUUCGGGUUGUCAUGCCAAUGGCACUGCCCGGUAGCUAAAUGCGGAAGAGAUAAGUGCUGAAAGCAUCUAAGCACGAAACUUGCCCCGAGAUGAGUUCUCCCUGACUCCUUGAGAGUCCUGAAGGAACGUUGAAGACGACGACGUUGAUAGGCCGGGUGUGUAAGCGCAGCGAUGCGUUGAGCUAACCGGUACUAAUGAACCGUGAGGCUUAACCUUACAACGCCGAAG
rnacentral:rRNA from 1 species